GACGAGCGCUGGCGGCGUGCUUAACACAUGCAAGUCGAACGGUAAGGCCCUUCGGGGUACACGAGUGGCGAACGGGUGAGUAACACGUGGGUGAUCUGCCCUGCACUUCGGGAUAAGCCUGGGAAACUGGGUCUAAUACCGGAUAGGACCACUGCCUGCAUGGGUGGUGGUGGAAAGCUUUUGCGGUGUGGGAUGGGCCCGCGGCCUAUCAGCUUGUUGGUGGGGUGAUGGCCUACCAAGGCGACGACGGGUAGCCGGCCUGAGAGGGUGACCGGCCAGACUGGGACUGAGAUACGGCCCAGACUCCUACGGGAGGCAGCAGUGGGGAAUAUUGCACAAUGGGCGCAAGCCUGAUGCAGCGACGCCGCGUGAGGGAUGACGGCCUUCGGGUUGUAAACCUCUUUCAGCACCGACGAAGCGCAAGUGACGGUAGGUGCAGAAGAAGGACCGGCCGACUACGUGCCAGCAGCCGCAGUAA
rnacentral:rRNA from 1 species